AGAAGCAAGCUCUCAGGAGGGGAAGAGCAGAGAGCAGGUUUGGGUCAGUGCUCGCCAGCCUGCAUUCUUGCCUUGAUGUCCAGCCCUGCUACAGCGAAAGAACUACAGAGUGCGAGCAGGUAAUCCGGGAAGGAGGUCAUGCAGUGGUUUGGGCCGGGCAGCUGCAAGGAAAACUGGUUGCCAUCAAGGCCUUCCCACCGAGGUCUGUGGCUCAGUUCCAAGCUGAGAGAGCAUUGUACGAACUUCCAGGCCUACAGCACGACCACAUUGUCCGAUUUAUCACUGCCAGCCGGGGGGGCCCUGGCCCCCUGGUCUCUGGGCCCCUGCUGGUACUGGAACUGCAUCCCAAGGCCAAUAUAAACCAGGUAUUGCCCACCGAGAUCUGAGCAGCCAGAAUGUGCUCAUUCGGGAAGAUGGAUCAUGUGCCAUUGGAGACCUGGGCCUUGCCUUGGUGCUCCCUGGCCUCACUCAGCCCCCUGCCUGGACCCCUACUCAACCACAAGGCCCAGCUGCCAUCAUGGAAGUGAGUUCUCUGGAUAACUGGUGAGGCCCAGGAUGAUGUUGGUGCUGCUGAUGGUAAUGCAGCCGUUGUGUGUCAACAGUUGUAGCAAUACCUAUAGCAUUUGGGGCAUUGCUGAGUCUGUAGUUGGGGGGAUAUUGCAUGGACCAUUGCUGCAAUGAGGGUUGCCACAGAGAUGAUUCUUGGCCCUUCGUGCCUUGCUCUCCAGGCUGGCACCCAGAGGUACAUGGCACCAGAGCUCUUGGACAAGACUCUGGACCUACAGGAUUGGGGCAUGGCCCUCCGACGAGCUGAUAUUUACUCUUUGGCUCUGCUCCUGUGGGAGAUACUGAGCCGCUGCCCAGAUUUGAGUCCUGGUAAGGAUGGGUGGUACAGUCCCCUCUCCUGGGCUCCUCCCCGCCCAUUCUAGGUUCACCCCAACCUGACCUGGCCUGAGAAAGCUCUGCUCUUCCCUGUCUUGCCCUUUCUACAUGGUAGGCACCCCUAGGACUAACUGACACCCAGCCCCUCUACCUUCCUCCAGACAGCAGUCCACCACCCUUCCAACUGGCCUAUGAGGCAGAACUGGGCAAUACCCCUACCUCUGAUGAGCUAUGGGCCUUGGCAGUGCAGGAGAGGAGGCGUCCCUACAUCCCAUCCACCUGGCGCUGCUUUGCCACAGUAAGAGGCCUAGGCUGUUGGGCUGGGAACCUGGAGAGUGGGGACUGGGCAUGGGCUUCAAGGACCUCUCUGCCAGGGUGUCUGUCUACUCCUAUCUCCUCUUAUCUCCCAUCACUCCUUGGUUCAUGCUCAGCUGGAACUGGGCAAGCCUCCUCUCCCCUUCAGUUCAUCCUCUUCCACCCUAAGUCUCAACAGUCAAUUCCAUCUACCUGAGACACACACCUUCCUCUUGCUCAGCCUUGCCCAGCCUGUCUCUCCUCUCUACCAUCAGUUAGCCCUGUUCCUCAGUCUCCUUCUCCAGGAAGCCCUCGAGCUUGGCUUUGCUGUUGCCCUGAGCUCUGCCCCAUCUGCUCUCCUAAUACAGUAAAGCCCAAAAAUCAAUUCAAUAAGUCCCCAUUCUGUCAUACAUUGAUGAUGUUUCUGCUGUGACCCAAUAAAAGGCAGUUCUGGGUAUAAAGGGUGAAAGCAGUGGCGUCACAGUGAAAGUUCAGGGCUUUGCACAAAUACUUUUUUAACAGAAUGUCCCUUCUGCUACCUGAUCUGAAAUUUCCACGGCACAAGUCUUAGGUUAGCUAACAGAAACUGGGCAUUGCUUGCAGAAGACUCUGGCCCUCUGAGAGGAAAGAGAGUAGUUUCCUAUUAGCAUAUUAAGCUGUCAACCUACAUUAGCUCCUCAGAGGAAACGGUGGGCUAUACAGAAGGCCCCCAGAGAGCCUGUUUCAUAGGGAGCAAGACUCAGAGGGCUGGAAUUCAGCAAGAGGGAGAGGAAGGAAGCUCCAGGAAAGAUCAGAAGUGGAUGGUGAAAGCAGGAGAGUGAUGGAUACUGAAGAUGGCUUGUAACCCUGGGGCCCACUCAAGAUCCUAGGGUCAACCCUUCCUCCCUGUCAUUCCCCCCAGGACCCUGAUGGGCUGAGGGAGCUCCUAGAAGACUGUUGGGAUGCAGACCCAGAAGCACGGCUGACGGCUGAGUGUGUACAGCAGCGCC
rnacentral:sRNA from 1 species